CGGAACUCAUUUAAGGGUUGGCAGUGGAGGUGAGGGGAUCUUCUGGGAGAUCCCUGCUUACUUGAGGUCUUCUGAAGCCUUUUUAGGAUGGUGAAGGGACAAUUCAGAAGAAAUACAAAAGAAAAGGCCAGUUUUCCCCAUCUGCCCCAGUCGUUUUGCUUCGAAGCUCUGAAACUGGGAUUGCUUUCCCAAUUGUUUGUUUCAGUGAAUGCCUCCAGGCUUCCCCUGCAGCAUCGUGUGGCACUGUGUCAUCUUUACAGAGAGGCUGGCCAGCAUCCCUGCACGGGGAUGUUUUGCCUGGAAAAUCCAUGGAAAACACUGGGAAUCAGAGGCCUGGAAAUCAGCCUAGGCUCACAUAGAAGACUGAGCAGGAGCUGCAGGCACCCACAUGGAGGGCAGAAAGCCUAUGCUCUAAAUGUGGGAAAAUGCACAAAAAUAUAAGGAACGUGCCAACUGCUGUGAGAAAUGGUCAAGAGUGAUGCUAAUAGAAAAAGGUGAAGUACUGCAAGAGAGGAAGCGCUGAUUACAGGCACAGCAGUGCAUAUAUUAACCUUAGGCUGUGUUGAAAAAUAUUCCAGCAACAAGUGCAAAUUCCUGCACAGACCAUUAGAAAGCUGCACCUUGCUCUUAUUGCUCUGGCUACAGAUGGACAUGGUGAAAAUGUGAGCGCCUGGAGGUUGUCCCCUGUCUGAUGGGACAGACUGUCAUCACUUCUAUCCACUGCUGUCACAGAAUGGUGGGUCAGUACUCCCCACAAGGCUGCCCCCAAGCAGAACACGCCAUCAGCAGUACCACAGUAUGAUGAAUUAACCAUGGGCUACGGUUAAUAAUGCAUUUGUCACAUUACCUUAUCACUGCUGUAGCUUGUAUCACAAUAAAUUAGUCAAAUCCUGACCUGCUUGCACGCAGCAGGAGUGAGGCAGUUCUCCUGCAUGAACACCUAGGGAUUUGCUCUCCGUUCCUUUAUGCCCAGGAAGGUGGGAAAAGGUCUCUCAGACCCCCACCCCCAGCUCACCCCUAUUACACCCACUGCCCACAUCCCUCAGUGCCACAUCUCCAUGGAUCUGGAACACCUCCAUGGAUGGGGACCACCUCCCUGGGCAGCUCUGCUAGAGCCCGAUGAGUCUUUCAGACUUACAUCCAACCUGAACUUCCCGUGGUGCAACUUGAGGCCAUUAACUCUCAUCCUAUCGUUGGUUACAAAAAAUCAGCGAUGGUUUUGGCGCACUCAGAAGGAGGCAUUUAAUGGAUGAGUGGAGCGAUGGAGCUCUUUGCUGGAGAAGCCCAGCACUGUACCUGCACCAACACAAAGCCCACUGGCAGGAUCCAUCGCGCACCACUCCUCAGAUGAGC
ensembl:lncRNA